GACGAACGCUGGCGGCGUGCUUAACACAUGCAAGUCGAACGGAAAGGCCCUGCUUUUGUGGGGUGCUCGAGUGGCGAACGGGUGAGUAACACGUGAGUAACCUGCCCUUGACUUUGGGAUAACUUCAGGAAACUGGGGCUAAUACCGGAUAGGAGCUCCUGCUGCAUGGUGGGGGUUGGAAAGUUUCGGCGGUUGGGGAUGGACUCGCGGCUUAUCAGCUUGUUGGUGGGGUAGUGGCUUACCAAGGCUUUGACGGGUAGCCGGCCUGAGAGGGUGACCGGCCACAUUGGACUGAGAUACGGCCCAGACUCCUACGGGAGGCAGCAGUGGGGAAUAUUGCACAAUGGGCAGAAGCCUGAUGCAGCAACGCCGCGUGCGGGAUGACGGCCUUCGGGUUGUAAACCGCUUUCGCCUGUGACGAAGCGUGAGUGACGGUAAUGGGUAAAGAAGCACCGGCUAACUACGUG
rnacentral:rRNA from 1 species